rnacentral:lncRNA from 1 species
AUGGAAAGAACAGCAUCAACCCUAAAAGCAAAGGAACAAACAGCUCCAGCAUCUGCUGCUAUAGCAGAAAUAGGUCCUGUUUACAUCAGGGAAGGAUCUGCAGAUUACAGCAGGAGUCAACCACAGCUUUCCCAAAAGCUCUCAUCUGACUCAAGUUCCAUCUUGAUGGCAUCCAUUUUCAGAAAGCAGAUGCUGCCCUCUUUUACACUGGUGCAAUUCUGGAAUAACUCCGCUGACGUCAGUGAAGUGACUCCAAAUUUAUCCCCGGUGAAAGCAGAAUUGGACCACAGUCUCUUUGUUUUCCUCUCUGCUCUGGAGCUCUGGGGAAGGUGUGCCACUGCCACACCAUAAG